rnacentral:misc_RNA from 1 species
AAGUCGUAACAAGGUUUCCGUAGGUGAACCUGCGGAAGGAUCAUUAUUGAAAUAAACCUGAUGGGUUGCUGCUGGUUUCUCUAAGGAACAUGUGCACACUUGUCAUCUUUAUAUCUCCACCUGUGCACCUCUUGUAGACCUGGAUAUUUUUCUGAAUAUUAUUAUUCAGGUUUGAGGAUUGAUUUUUCUGUCUCUCCUUACAUUUCCAGGCCUAUGUUUUCUUCAUAUAUACCCCAAUGUAUGUUAUAGAAUGUAAUCAAUGGGCCUUUGUGCCUAUAAAUCUAUACAA